rnacentral:rRNA from 1 species
UACGUAGGGGGCAAGCGUUGUCCGGAUUUAUUGGGCGUAAAGAGCGUGUAGGCGGCCAUACAGGUCAGCUGUGAAAACUCGAGGCUCAACCUCGAGACGUCGGUUGAAACCGUAUGGCUAGAGUCCGGAAGAGGAGAGUGGAAUUCCCGGUGUAGCGGUGAAAUGCGCAGAUAUUGGGAAGAACACCGGUGGCGAAGGCGGCGACCUGGUCCUUGACUGACGCUGAGGUGCGAAAGCGUGGGGAGCAAACAGG